rnacentral:rRNA from 1 species
AAGUACGGUCGCAAGGUGAAACUCAAAGNAAUUGACGGGGGGCCCGCACAAGCGGUGAAGCAUGUGGUUCAAUUCGACGCAACGCGAAGAACCUUACCUGGGCUCGAAGCGCAGUGAAUCCGGGUAAAGUCCGGCGCCCGCAAGGGCCGCUGCGGAGGUGCUGCAUGGCUGUCGUCAGCUCGUGUCGUGAGAUGUUGGGUUAAGUCCCGCAACGAGCGCAACCCUUAUCCUUAGUUGCCAUGCCGAAAGGCGGCACUCUAAAGAGACUGUCGGCCACAAGCCGGAGGAAGGUGGGGAUGACGUCAAGUCCUCAUGGCCUUUAUGUCCAGGGCUACACACGUGCUACAAUGGGCGGUACAAAGCGUCGCAAACCCGCGAGGGGGAGCCAAUCGCAAAAAGCCGCUCUCAGUUCGGAUUGCAGUCUGCAACUCGACUGCAUGAAGCUGGAAUCGCUAGUAAUCGCGGAUCAGAACGCUGCGGUGAAUACGUUCCCGGGCCUUGUACACACCGCCCGUCACAUCACGAAAGCAGGCUGCACUAGAAGUCGCUUCGCUAACCGCAAGGAGGCAGGCGCCCAAGGUGUGGUUUGUGAUUGGGGUG